UACGUAGGGCGCAAGCGUUAUCCGGAAUUAUUGGGCGUAAAGAGCUCGUAGGCGGUUUGUCGCGUCUGCUGUGAAAGACCGGGGCUCAACUCCGGUUCUGCAGUGGGUACGGGCAGACUAGAGUGCAGUAGGGGAGACUGGAAUUCCUGGUGUAGCGGUGAAAUGCGCAGAUAUCAGGAGGAACACCGAUGGCGAAGACAGGUCUCUGGGCCACUACUGACGCUGAGAAGCGAAAGCAUGGGGAGCGAACAGG
rnacentral:rRNA from 1 species